AUUGAACGCUGGCGGCAGGCCUAACACAUGCAAGUCGAGCGAGCGGCGGACGGGUGAGUAAUGUCUGGGAAACUGCCAGAUGGAGGGGGAUAACUACUGGAAACGGUCGCUAAUACCGCAUACCAUCAGAUGUGCCUAUAGGGGAUUAGCUAGUAGGUGGGGUAAUGGCUCACCUAGGCGACGAUCCCUAGCUGGUCUGAGAGGGGUACCAGCCCCACGGGGACUGAGACACGGUCCAGAGUCCUACGGGAGGCAGCAGUGGUGAAUAGUGCACAAUGGGCGCAAGCCUGAUGCAGCCAUGCCGCGUGUAUGAAGAAGGCCUUAGGGUUGUAAAGUACUUUCAGCGGGGAGGCGUUACCCGCAGAAGAAGCACCGGCUAACUCCGUGCCAGCCGCCGCGGUAAUUC
rnacentral:rRNA from 1 species